AUGCGCCUUGCCAGCCCGCUCAGGUGUGCCAGCCGCCGCGGUAAUACGGAGGGUGCAAGCGUUAAUCGGAAUUACUGGGCGUAAAGCGCACGCAGGCGGUUUGUUAAGUCAGAUGUGAAAUCCCCGGGCUCAACCUGGGAACUGCAUCUGAUACUGGCAAGCUUGAGUCUCGUAGAGGGGGGUAGAAUUCCAGGUGUAGCGGUGAAAUGCGUAGAGAUCUGGAGGAAUACCGGUGGCGAAGGCGGCCCCUGGACGAAGACUGACCGCUCAGGUGCGAAAGCGUGGGUAGCGAACGGG
rnacentral:rRNA from 1 species